GCUGGUGCGCCUGCGCACUCCUGCGUGUGCCUUCGGGACGCGCGCGGGCGGUUUCCUCGGCUAUUCGGUGGCGCGAAGAUAGGGUUCCGCGGCGCCUUUUGUCGACCCCGCCGUGUCGGGUACCAGGAAGUACAUUCUAGAAGCAAUGAUGACUCCUUUUUGAGGGACAGAAUCUUGAGGACGGGAGCCAAUGGAUUAAGAGAAAAAACUCGAAGUUCGAGACUUCAUUUGUGGAUAUUAUAGCUUAGACAUUUUAAGAAGUCAUCUAGAUUUUCUCGAAAAACCUGCUGGCCACUGGGGACAGACACCUUCUAUUGAAGCUGAACUUUCUCGGCCUCUUCUGUGUG